rnacentral:rRNA from 2 species
GCGAGUAAUGUCGGGAACUCCAGGGAGACUGCCGGUGAUAAACCGGAGGAAGGUGGGGACGACGUCAAGUCAUCAUGGCCCUUACGAGUAGGGCUACACACGUGCUACAAUGGCGCAUACAGAGGGCGGCCAACUUGCGAAAGUGAGCGAAUCCCAAAAAGUGCGUCGUAGUCCGGAUUGGAGUCUGCAACUCGACUCCAUGAAGUCGGAAUCGCUAGUAAUCGUGGAUCAGAAUGCCACGGUGAAUACGUUCCC